UGCUGCAAAAAAUGCUGAAAACAUAAGGGUACAUUCCGAGCUGACGCGUAAUCUUGCGGAAUCAUAUGAUCAUGACGAAUCAGCAACAAAAGCUCCUUUAGCUUGCAAUGAAGAUUUCAACACUUAUAGCAAAGAGAAGCGCAAGACGAGAAAACAUACUACUUACUCGAAGGUAUUAUGUUUUUUUUAUUUUUUUAUUUUAA
rnacentral:lncRNA from 1 species